AGAGCAAAAGCCAUGAAGUCAAAGGAAUUGUCUGUAGAGCGCUGAGACAGGAUUGUGUCGAGGUACAGACCUGGGGAAGGUUAACAAAAUAUUUUUUGAAGGUCCCCAAGAAAACCGUGGCCUCCAUCAUUCUUAAAUGGAAGACGUUUGGAACCACCAAGACUCUUCCUAGAGCUGGCCUCCCGGGCCAAACUGAAUAAUUAGGGGAGAAGGGCCUUGGUCAGGGAAGUGACUAGGAAAAGACAAUUUUUUGAAUGGCUUGUAUCUGCAUGAGUGCCUGGACAUUGGUAGACCUACACAUCACAUGAGUUGAGAUGAUUUUUUUCCCAGUGUCCACCGAAACUGAUUCCCAUUAGUUUUGGGUGCUUCAGUCGAGUGAUGAAUCAAUUCCUGAGGGCAAGACCUGCAGGACUGUUACCUUCAGGUGAUUCUUCAUCCUCUCCAGUGGUGGCCUUCUCCUCUGCAUUUCUGACUUCGUGAACAGUGUCUUCCACCUCACCUUGUACCUGAAACCAAGUAACCGCAAGCUUUUUCUUGGUGCUCAGAAUAAUUGUCUUCAAGACAAAUUAUGUAAAGAACAAGUUCAUCAAUUAGGAUAAAAUGUCAACAAAAGGUAUAAAUUAAAUGACUACCUGAGAGCAGCAGUCCAACCUGUUCACUGGCAUCCACCAGCUCUUGCUUUGCCACUUGGUGGCCUCUCUCUGUCUGCUCCAGAGCAGCCCUCAGCUCCUCAAUCUCAGCCAACAUCAGGGCGUUCCUGCGCUCCACCAUGGCUGCCUGCUCCUUCAUGUCAUCCUGUCCUCUGAUUGCAUCAUCAAGGUGCAGUUUGGCAUCCUAAUAAUAAAGAUGUUAUGGAACAAACAGAGGCUGCUGUCUAUAAGCAUAGACUAUAAAUCACUGGCCAUUUUAAGGAAUGGAACACUGGUCACUUUAAUGUUUACAUAUCUUGCAUUACUCAUCUCAUAUGUAUAUACUGUAUUCUAUUCUACUGUAUCUUAGUCCGUUCCGCUCUGACAUCGCUCUUCCAUAUAUGUGUGUGUAUAUAGUCUCAAUUCAUUCCUACUUAGAUUUGUGUGUAUUGGGUAUAUGUUGUGUAGAUAUUACUGCACUGUUGGCGCUAGAAGCACAAGCAUUUCGCAACACCCGCAGUAACAUCUGUUAAUCACGUAUGUGACCGAUUUGAAACGUGGGGAAGUCACAAAGUGAUUGACUUUGUAAACAAAUGUUGAUCAAAAAGCUUACCUUGUCUUUGAGUUGUCCCUGGAAGUACCUUUGCUGUUUCUGCGCCUCAGCAGCUUGGUGGUUGGCAUGACUCAUCUGAAUCUCAAUCUCAUUGAGGUCUCCCUCCAUCUUCUUGACUCUCAGGGUCCAGAUUGCUCUGCAUGGGUUAAUCACCAUCUGGCUGUUCCUCUUGAUCUGUUCCAUCUCCUCAUCCUCCUUUGCAAGCUUUCUGUCGACAUCACCCUUGUCCUGGUUGAGCUCCAGCUGGAAACGAGGAAUCUUGGAUUUAUCAUGUUCCAGAGGUUCCUAUGUAUUACACAAGAAACAAAUUAUAUACAUUUUUCAAGUAAGCUUACUGGGCCUAUUCAUGCAUAUAACUCCUAACCUCAGCUUCCUCCAGAGUAGUCUGGAUCUCUGCCUUAGACUCUGCACUCUUUGUCUGGUCCAGUCAAUGUGCCCCCUCCACAAAAUACAGCUUACAGAUCUUAUUAUAAAUAAUUAUGAUAAAAAGUGGGAUUAAAAAUCCAGUUAAUUAAACAUUUUAAUUUAACGUCUGAAUAAACAGACAAAUCUGAGGGGACACGCGCACUGGUGCCCUUUACUGGCAUGACGCCUCUGAUCUUUACAUAAUUGAAAUCACACGGAUUCAAGAUAACAGUAUAAAACAUACCUGUUAUCAUUUACACAUGCCUUCUUGAAUAUCAAUGUUUAGCUAGCUAGCUACUAAAAAGGAAGCAGGCCAACAACACCCAGAAUUGCGACAUGCACACAUACAUUUCUGUCAAAUCGGAGCUAUUCACCCAAUCAUGAAUCUUUUGGUGUUGCUAUGUUUGACACUGUUGAUCUAUUGGGGAAAGAGAGCAUAUCGAAAUAAAAAAUAUAUUUGGAUGUC